rnacentral:rRNA from 1 species
GCUUGUCUCAAAGAUUAAGCCAUGCAUGUCUUAGUGUAAAUAACUCUUAUGAAACUGCGAAUGGCUCAUUAAAUCAGUUAUCGUUUAUUUGAUGGUCCCUUACUACAUGGAUAACCGUAGUAAUUCUAGAGCUAAUACAUGCACAAAAUCCCGACUUACGAAGGGAUGUAUUUAUUAGAUACAAACCAACAUCGUGGUGAUUCAUGAUAACUUUGCGAAUCGCAUAGCUUUAAUGCUGGCGAUGGGUCAUUCAAAUUUCUGCCCUAUCAACUUUCGACGGUAGGAUAGAGGCCUACUGUGGUGAUAACGGGUAACGAAGAAUAAGGGUUCGAUUUCGGAGAGGGAGCCUGAGAAACGGCUACCACAUCCAAGGAAGGCAGCAGG